CGCUUAACACAUGCAAGUCGAACGAGAAGCCGUAGCAAUACGGUUGUAAAGUGGCAGACGGGUGAGUAAUGCAUGGGUAAUCUACCCUCAGGUGGGGAAUAACUCCUCGAAAGGGGAGCUAAUGCCGACGAUAUCCACCAGCCUCAUAAGAGGUUGUUGGAAAGCCGAACCGAGGGUUCGGCGCCUGAGGAUGGGCUCAUGUCCUAUCAGCUUGUUGGCGGGGUAAUGGCCCACCAAGGCUGCGACGGGUAGCUGGUCUGAGAGGACGACCAGCCACACUGGCACUGCGACACGGGCCAGACUCCUACGGGAGGCAGCAGUGAGGAAUCUUGCGCAAUGGGCGAAAGCCUGAGGCAGCGACGCCGCGUGGGGGAUGAAGGCCUUCGGGUUGUAAACCCC
rnacentral:rRNA from 1 species